CCUACGGGAGGCAGCAGUCGAGAAUCAUUCACAAUGGGGGAAACCCUGAUGGUGCGACGCCGCGUGGGGGAAUGAAGGUCUUCGGAUUGUAAACCCCUGUCAUGUGGGAGCAAAUUAAAAAGAUAGUACCCCAAGAGGAAGAGACGGCUAACUCUGUGCCAGCAGCCGCGGUAAUACAGAGGUCUCAAGCGUUGUUCGGAAUCACUGGGCGUAAAGCGUGCGUAGGCUGUUUCGUAAGUCGUGUGUGAAAGGCGCGGGCUCAACCCGCGGACGGCACAUGAUACUGCGAGACUAGAGUAAUGGAAGGGGAACCGGAAUUCUCGGUGUAGCAGUGAAAUGCGUAGAUAUCGAGAGGAACACUCGUGGCGAAGGCGGGUUCCUGGACAUUAACUGACGCUGAGGCACGAAGGCCAGGGGAGCGAAAGGGAUUAGAUACCCCAGUAGUC
rnacentral:rRNA from 1 species